CGGCGGGCCUGUCCCGUCUCCCCGUUCCCCGUCCCCACGWACAAAACCCCGGCGCAAGAUGCGCCAAGGAAUCGCAACGAGAAAAGGAACGUGCCCCCGUUGUGCGCCGGGAACGGAAUGCGCACGGGAGGCCUCGUAUUCUUUGAAAACAAAACGACUCUCGGCAACGGAUAUCUCGGCUCUCGCAUCGAUGAAGAACGUAGCGAAAUGCGAUACUUGGUGUGAAUUGCAGAAUCCCGUGAACCAUCGAGUCUUUGAACGCAAGUUGCGCCCGAAGCCUUCGGGCCGAGGGCACGUCUGCCUGGGUGUCAUGCACCGUCGCCCCCAUCCCCGCUCCCCUGAGGGGAGUGGGGAAGCGCGGGGCGGACAAUGGCCUCCCGUGCGCUCUCGCUCGCGGUUGGCCUAAAUCCGAGUUGUUGGCGGCGAGCGCCACGGCAAGCGGUGGUUGGAAAGACCCUCUGAAGUGUCG
rnacentral:rRNA from 1 species